UACUUACAACUCUAUUAAGUUUUUGGACUCGGAAAAAUAAUCCUAAUCGAAUAAAUUUUAGGUUAUCUUUUCUUGAGGUAUAUAAAUACACAAGACUUGCGUUUAAUGUGCUAUGUGCACAUUAGCAGAAUCAAUUUGUACGUCAAUCUGUUGGUCUUCAUUUAUUUACCCAGACAUUGGGUUUGACUCGUAGCUUUGCAAACCAACUUCGUCUUUUGUGAAUCAAGGGGAAAGAGAAGUGCAUUAAUCAAAGGGACAAAGUGUCCAUGAGUACAUAAGGUGUUACAGAACUAGGACAAUGAUGCUCCCAACAUUGUUCAACACCAAAAGGCACAACUCUAGCAAGUAUUUUGUGAGAUAAUG